AACGAACGCUGGCGGCAUGCCUAACACAUGCAAGUCGAACGAGACCUUCGGGUCUAGCGGCGCACGGGUGCGUAACGCGUGGGAACCUGCCCUUAGGUUCGGAAUAACUCCCCGAAAGGGGUGCUAAUACCGGAUAAUGUCUUCGGACCAAAGAUUUAUCGCCUUUGGAUGGGCCCGCGUUGGAUCAGCUAGUUGGUAGGGUAAAAGCCUACCAAGGCGACGAUCCAUAGCUGGUCUGAGAGGAUGAUCAGCCACACUGGGACUGAGACACGGCCCAGACUCCUACGGGAGGCAGCAGUGGGGAAUAUUGGACAAUGGGCGAAAGCCUGAUCCAGCAAUGCCGCGUGAGUGAUGAAGGCCUUAGGGUUGUAAAGCUCUUUUACCCGGGAUGAUAAUGACAGUACCGGGAGAAUAAGCUCCGGCUAACUCCGUG
rnacentral:rRNA from 1 species